rfam:Aedes aegypti strain Liverpool supercont1.189 genomic scaffold, whole genome shotgun sequence.
UGCCCAGCAACUCCUAUCCCUACCUCCUCGUGGUACUGGCCGGGGUACGAGUAACCUUGGGGAAGAUUGGGUAACCAACCCCCGGUGGGAACUUUGGUCGUAUGCUGACAGGGAAGG